rnacentral:rRNA from 1 species
GACGAACCGUGCGAACGUUAUUCGGAAUCACUGGGCUUAAAGCGCGUGUAGGCGGAAGGGCACGUCCGUUGCUGAAAUCCCCCGGCUCAACCGGGGAACGGGCGCGGAUACGACUCUUCUGGAGGGGCGUAGGGGGACCUGGAACUUCCGGUGGAGCGGUGAAAUGCGUUGAGAUCGGAAGGAACGCCGGUGGCGAAAGCGGCGUGCUGGCCCUCUUCUGACGCUGAGGCGCGAAAGCCAGGGGAGCGAACGGG